rnacentral:lncRNA from 1 species
CAGGUUUUGUCUUAUUCUUUCCCUCUUAUUCUUCUCUUCUCUGCAUACAAAACCUUUGUCCCUUCCCUCCGAUGCUGAUGUCGCCUUCGCCUUCGCCACGACCGUCAAUCCACCACCUUCACCCAUCCGAAGCCCCUCCGACGUCACCACCUUCACUAGUCUGAAACCCCUCCGACGCCACCACCUUCGCCUUCCCCGCACCCCCUCCAUGACGCCGAC